GACAACGGUGAUGAGCAAUACAGACCUGUAAUGAUUUUGCGAGUAUGAUCGCAAACUCUUUUAUGAACAUCUAAGGGACUGAGUUGUC